GUGACACUGUUGGUGUCCCUUAGCAGUCUGCCUUGUACACAACAGGAAAGUAUAUUUGCAACAGAAGAUCGAAAGAUCACCUCUCCUGUCCUCCUGGAAAUCUGUGUCCAACAAGCUGUUCUCAAGUCUUCAGAAAAUAGAAGAGGGACACAGAAAUAUCACUUCCUAUGGGCAGUUCUGUCAGUCACUCGAUCAGAACAGUUUCUGUGGAUGGAGAUAGGAGAUGAAAAGGAGAGAAGAACGCUGAAAGGAGAAAUUAUGUUUUAGCUUAAUCCUCAGCUGAAAGAGCUGUAACAUUCAUGAAGUCAGAUUGUACCACAAUGGAGGAGCAUAUUCCUUCCAUCACAAGAAACAUCCCUCCUUCACAUCUCUCAUUCAUCUCUCUCUUGUGUCUCAGUAUGGGAAUACUGCUCUUACAGCUGUGCUUUCCUUCCUAAUGAUAGACUGGCUCUUAAUACAAUCAGGAGAUCUCUGAAAACCUGGGGCAUUUCCUCCACUGGUCUUAAACUUCUGCUGGAUAGAAAUCUCUGCUUUAAUCCUGCAGUUUUGUACAUAUUCCAAAACAAAGAUUAUUGACACUUGUAAGAAUUCUGGGUGUUAAUUAGCGAUAUGUUACUUUUGGAUCUCUAAGAUUUUGGCCUCAAUAGCUUCAAGGAACAGUGAAUUCUGUUCUGCUAUGUGGAAGAAAAGAAAUUUGAGCUUCUUUUUCUGAACCUCUGCGGGUUUGACACUUUUUUUGAAACCCUGUGAUCAAUGCUGCACAUAAUAUUCUGGAGGAGAUGACAUUUUAGAUGGAUAUGUGAAUUCUUAAAUUAUUCAACUCACAAGUUAGGAUCAUAAGAUAUUUCAGACUGGAAAGGACCUCAGGUGACAUCCUCAUGCAGUUUCCUACUCAAAGCACUGUCAGCUGUGAGG